GGGCAGCUAGCUCAGUUGGCUAGAGCGCUUCCUUGACAUGGAAGAGGUCACAGGUUCAAGUCCUGUGCUGCCCACCA
rnacentral:tRNA from 1 species